rnacentral:rRNA from 1 species
CAGUAGCCGCGGGAAUACGAAGGGGGCUAGCGUUGUUCGGAUUUACUGGGCGUAAAGCGCACGUAGGCGGACUUCUAAGUCAGGGGUGAAAUCCCGGGGCUCAACCCCGGAACUGCCUUUGAUACUGGAAGUCUUGAGUAUGGUAGAGGUGAGUGGAAUUCCGAGUGUAGAGGUGAAAUUCGUAGAUAUUCGGAGGAACACCAGUGGCGAAGGCGGCUCACUGGACCAUUACUGACGCUGAGGUGCGAAAGCGUGGGGAGCAAACAGGAUUAGAUACCCGCGUAGUCCCUGUCUCUUAUAC